rnacentral:misc_RNA from 1 species
AGAGAGAGAGAGAGAGAGAGAGAUUGCAAUAACAAAUUGUGUGUUAAAUCCAGCAAACGUGACUUCCUUUCCUCUAUUAGAGUGUCGUGUGGCAUAAUACAUCGUACCCGGUAUUUUCAGGACUACAUUCAGGUUCGUGGAUGGUCUGUAUUGCACAUGUAGUUGUACAUAGUUCAGUACCAUAUAUGACUCUGUUUACACUGUUCUGGUUGUCUGAUUUAAUGCUAAAAAUGUUGUUUUUAUGUCUCCGAAGAUCUAGUCAUUUGUUCAUAUGCAUGUAGAUCUUAACAUAUAUUUUAUAUAAAAAUAAAUUUUGGAAGAUAU